GCUAGACAUGAAAGUUGAAAGGCCCUAUUGUUUAUGUUUAACUAGCAAGCUCAAUACUGCUGUAAAAGAAAAUUAUGUUAAAAAAAAUUCAAAGUAGAUGGCUCAUAUUAUUUUCCUACUGUGAUACAGGGACAUGACACAUUGAUGUACAAGUAACAUGUAUCCAUUCAUUACAUUUUUAUGUGACUUUUUUUGCAGCUUUUUCUUUC